GUUCUAAAUCAGUCUUAAAUCUGAAUUUCAGCCAAAUUUUCUGGUUAUUUGAUUUUGUCGUAGUUAGAUGAGUCUUUAGUUUCCAUGGGGAAAAGGGCAGUCUCUCUUAACCAGGGGCCGGAGCCCAACAAGACAGCGCCUGGUAGUUACAAUGGACCUGUAAACAUGGGAAAACGACGAAUCUCAAGAAAGGUAUCUUCUAGAAAGAAUAGAGUUGGGUAUUUUUAGGUAUUUUUAGCUGACGAAUUUUUUUAUCGUGCUAAAAUAAAGAUAAUCUAAUCUUAUCUGAGUGUCUGUUUAAGAACGUCCGUUUAACGUUUUUUACGCAUCGUUGCUGUGCAAGUCAUUCAUGUCACAACGUCAAGCCACGUCAUACAUCAAGCGCACGCUAAUAAGGAAAUAUAAGCGAGUAUAGGUACCGGGUGUGUUAACUUCACCUGGAGUUUAUUCUCCUAAAAGGUCGGUGACCCCCUCUUUUCUUUAUAUAAAUCACUUUCUUCCAUGAUUUUCUCCAUUUUAACAGAAAACAGCAAAAGAGAAGUUGCAAAU